GUAAGCACCAACCGCGAGCUGGGUAGAACGAGCAGAGUGCAGGUACGAGUCGACUGCAGGUACGAGUAGAAUACAGGGACGAGUCGACUACAGGUACGAGCAGAGUGCAGGUACGAGUAGAAUGCAGGUACGAGCAGAGUGCAGGUACGAGUCGACUGCAGGUACGGGUAGAGUGCAGGUACGAGUAGGCUACAGGUACGAGUAGAAUACAGGUACGAGUAGACUACAGGUACGGGCAGAGUGCAGGUACGAGUAGGCUACAGGUACGAGUAGAAUACAGGUACGAGUAGACUACAGGUACGAGUCGACUGCAGGUACGAGUAGAAUACAGGUACGAGUCGACUGCAGGUACGAGUAGAAUACAGGUAC
ensembl:lncRNA